rnacentral:tRNA from 1 species
GCAGGUACAGCUCAGUGGUAGAGCAUAUGCUUAGCAUGCACGAGGUCCUGGGUUCAAUCCCCAGUACCUCCA